rnacentral:rRNA from 1 species
CAGUAGCCACGGUAAUACAGAGGGUGCGAGCGUUAAUCGGAUUUACUGGGCGUAAAGCGUGCGUAGGCGGCUUUUUAAGUCGGAUGUGAAAUCCCUGAGCUUAACUUAGGAAUUGCAUUCGAUACUGGGAAGCUAGAGUAUGGGAGAGGAUGGUAGAAUUCCAGGUGUAGCGGUGAAAUGCGUAGAGAUCUGGAGGAAUACCGGUGGCGAAGGCGGCCCCCUGGACAAAGACUGACGCUCAGGUGCGAAAGCGUGGGGAGCAAACAGGAUUAGAUACCCCUGUAGUCCCUGUCUCUUAUAC